UGGAGGAGAAGCCCUUGGGCAGCGUAAAGCCCUACCUGGACAAGCUCAUGCUGUGCGUUACACACAUCUUGGAGACUUCUCCAGGAGUUGCUGAGGUGACGAUUGUGGAAAAGGAGCCAGCUGAACGCCACAGUAUCAUCUCAUGGGAGCAAAUAGCUUGUAACCAGAUGCACACUGGAUCUUGAACAGCCUUUGUUUUACAG